rnacentral:rRNA from 1 species
UGAGGAAUAUUGGUCAAUGGACGCAAGUCUGAACCAGCCAUGCCGCGUGCAGGAAUAAGGUCUUAUGGAUUGUAAACUGCUUUUGUGCGAGAAGAAAAAGUUCUACGAGUAGAAUUUUGACGGUAUCGUAAGAAUAAGGAUCGGCUAACUCCGUGCCAGCAGCCGCGGUAAUACGGAGGAUCCGAGCGUUAUCCGGAAUCAUUGGGUUUAAAGGGUCUGUAGGCGGUUUAGUAAGUCAGUGGUGAAAUGCAAUCGCUCAACGGAUGAAUUGCCAUUGAUACUGCUAGGCUUGAAUUGUUAGGAAGUAAUUAGAAUAUGUAGUGUAGCGGUGAAAUGCUUAGAUAUUACAUGGAAUACCGAUUGCGAAGGCAGGUUACUACUAAUAGAUUGACGCUGAUGG